rnacentral:rRNA from 1 species
UACGUAGGUGGCAAGCGUUGUCCGGAUUUAUUGGGCGUAAAGCGAGUGCAGGCGGUUUUUUAAGUCUGAUGUGAAGGCCUUCGGCUUAACCGAAGAAAUUCAUUGGAAACUGGGAAACUUGAGUGCAGAAGAGGAGAGUGGAACUCCAUGUGUAGCGGUGAAAUGCGUAGAUAUAUGGAAGAACACCAGUGGCGAAGGCGGCUCUCUGGUCUGUAACUGACGCUGAGGCUCGAAAGCGUGGGUAGCAAACAGG